CCUACGGGAGGCAGCAGUCGAGAAUCAUUCACAAUGGGGGAAACCCUGAUGGUGCGACGCCGCGUGGGGGAAUGAAGGUCUUCGGAUUGUAAACCCCUGUCAUGUGGGAGCAAAUUAAAAAGAUAGUACCACACGAGGAAGAGACGGCUAACUCUGUGCCAGCAGCCGCGGUAAUACAGAGGUCUCAAGCGUUGUUCGGAAUCACUGGGCGUAAAGCGUGCGUAGGCUGUUUCGUAAGUCGUGUGUGAAAGGCGCGGGCUCAACCCGCGGACGGCACAUGAUACUGCGAGACUAGAGUAAUGGAGGGGGAACCGGAAGUCUCGGUGGAGCAGUGAAAUGCGUAGAUAUCGAGAGGAACACUCGUGGCGAAGGCGGGUUCCUGGACAUUAACUGACGCUGAGGCACGAAGGCCAGGGGAGCGAAAGGGAUUAGAUACCCCGGUAGUC
rnacentral:rRNA from 1 species